UACGUAGGGGCCAAGCGUUGUCCGGAAUCAUUGGGCGUAAAGGGCGUGUAGGCGGUCUGAUAAGUCAGAUGUUAAAUCUACGAGCUCAACUCGUAGCCGCAUCUGAUACUGUCAGGCUAGAGAAUGGUAGAGGAAAGCGGAACUUCCGGUGUAGCGGUGAAAUGCGUAGAUAUCGGAAGGAACACCAGUGGCGAAGGCGGCUUUCUGGGCCAUUUCUGACGCUGAGACGAGAAAGCUAGGGGAGCGAACGGG
rnacentral:rRNA from 1 species